rnacentral:rRNA from 1 species
GUCGAACGGCAGCACGGGAGCAAUCCUGGUGGCGAGUGGCGAACGGGUGAGUAAUACAUCGGAACGUGUCCUGUAGUGGGGGAUAGCCCGGCGAAAGCCGGAUUAAUACCGCAUACGCUCUACGGAGGAAAGGGGGGGAUCUUAGGACCUCUCGCUACAGGGGCGGCCGAUGGCAGAUUAGCUAGUUGGUGGGGUAAAGGCCUACCAAGGCGACGAUCUGUAGCUGGUCUGAGAGGACGACCAGCCACACUGGGACUGAGACACGGCCCAGACUCCUACGGGAGGCAGCAGUGGGGAAUUUUGGACAAUGGGCGAAAGCCUGAUCCAGCAAUGCCGCGUGUGUGAAGAAGGCCUUCGGGUUGUAAAGCACUUUUGUCCGGAAAGAAAUCCCCUGGGAUAAUACCCCGGGGGGAUGACGGUACCGGAAGAAUAAGCACCGGCUAACUACGUGCCAGCAGCCGCGGUAAUACGUAGGGUGCAAGCGUUAAUCGGAAUUACUGGGCGUA